rnacentral:rRNA from 1 species
UACGAGGGGAGCAAGCGUUGUUCGGAUUUACUGGGCGUAAAGGGCGCGUAGGCGGCCACGACAAGUCACUUGUGAAAUCUCCGGGCUUAACUCGGAACGGUCAAGUGAUACUGUCGGGCUAGAGUACAGAAGGGGCAACUGGAAUUCUCGGUGUAGCGGUGAAAUGCGUAGAUAUCGAGAGGAACACCAGUGGCGAAGGCGGCUCACUGGCCCGGUACUGACGCUGAGGCACGAAAGCGUGGGGAGCAAACAGG